UUUUUUUUUUUUUUUUUUUAAUCUCCCGUUCCAAGUGAGUGGAGUGGAUUGUUCUAGGAAGCAUUGAAAUCAUGUACUGCCCAAAUUCUAACGGGGACUAUUUUCUAAAAUAUUUGCUAAUUGUUUUGCUGGGUAUCCCAUUUUGCCAACGCUAUUAUUGUAUUAUUCCCUUGUUGUAUGACAUUUUUUUGCCUUUGUUAUCUCAUUAUAAAUUAAUGAUUAGAAUUAUCUAGAACUGAGAAGCUAUAGCUUUUUGUAAAAUUAUUGUAUGAAUGUACGUGAAUUAGAUUAUAUUUUGAAUGCUGAGAAUUUUCCGGUUAUUAAAUAUUCAAAUUUUCUUCUUCUUGGAAUGAGAAUCUUCAGAUUCUAGCAUAAUCAUUUUAUAGAGGGAGUGAAUCUUAUAUAUCUAUCUAUUUUGGUAGAUUAUGUUGGCAAUAUUCUCUUUCUGCAGAAUUAGAUUAGUAGCUGUUGCUACUCAGAAGUUCGUUGCAGAGGUUGCGGGCGAUGCACUGCAGUAUGUUUUUAUUUUCCUUAUCUGUUCACUCGCUUUAACAAGCAUUAUGAUUUGGUGGUAAUACAUCGUCAUCGCUGACAUCAUGUAGUGGGUUCAAAUCAAGGGCUUUUAUUUUAGUAUUGAAUAUAUGCAAAAUUGUUAAGAGUUAUCUGAAGUUUCGAAGAGGUUUAGGGGCAGCAGCUGAUAAACAUGGUGAAACAUACAUUUAUAUCUUUAAAUACAAGAUUAUUAACAAUUUUUAUGUUUUUUCAAGGGAAAUGUGGAAUAAAUGAUGUUCUAGCAUGUUAUGGUCCUUGACUUGACCCAAGUGGUUAGAUUUAAUGUGCGGCAAUUGAGUUCAGGGGUUGUUGCAACCUGCAACCUGUAUUAUGCUCUGAACAAAAGCAUGUUACUCAAAUGGGCUCAUUUCUGUACUCAUAUUAUGUCCAAGGGGCAUCAAUUCCAGAUUUUCAGCCUCCUUAAUUAGUGAUAUUACAUUAGUUUUUCAGUGCCUAAGUCAUAGUGAUAGAGAAUGAUCUCUCUCAUGCAUCCUCUUGUAGGCAAUGCAGGGCUCGUCAAUCAGCAGUAGUCAAAGACAAAAGAGAGAAGCAGCAAAAGGUGGUAAAAUGGUCCUAUAACAAUCUUAUGUUUUUGCGAGGCAAUAUUAUUUAGCCAGUCUUAACAUUUUGUAUGAACAGGAAAAGCGCCCAAUCUUGACCAUGGAGGACCUGUCCAAGGCUCUGCGUGAUGUAAGCACUAAAACAUUUUCUCAUUUAUGUUUGGAGAGACCAUGUUGUGUGCUGUUCCUGACUGUAAUAUCUCAUUUUAGCUAGAGGAUUAAAUGUGGAAUGGUGAUGAUUAUUAAUUUGUGUGAUAGCUGAGCAACUACUAAGUGUAGCUCAUUCUGCUGUAUAUAUUGAUUUCAUUAUUAUAAUUGGGCAUGAUUUUGGGUCAAAAUGAGAUAGUAUUUUAAUAAUGUAAGUUGAGAUUGUUUUAAGUGCAUAUAAAUAUACUAGCAGCUUGAUUGAGGGAUAGAAAUGGCUUCACUAUCCUGAGUAAAUGCAAUUGUAAGUUGACACUUAAUUUAUCUCCCUACAAUACUUGUUUUUCUAAUAUUUAACUGUGAUUCUUUUCACUACUGAAUGAGCAGUACGGCGUGAAUGUGAAGCACCAGGAGUAUUUUGCUGAUAGCCCAUCAACCGGAAUGGAUCCUGCUUCAAGAGAUGAGUAACCUGGCUUGGAUUUACAAGUUUUUUGCAUUUGUUUACAUGUCAAGUCGUUAUACAUUCUUGUUUGUACAACACAUCGCCUUUCUGUAGUCUGAUAGUUUUCAUUUAAAGAUUUAUUAUGAUAUAUAUUUGAUGUCUAGCUAUUAUAUGUUGAUGUUCUGACACUUAACAGAACAGUUGGUAAGGUUUUAACUGCUCCUAUUGCUAUGGCAUGAUAAAAGACUUUAUUAUCAUUAAAGGAGCCGAGCCUGUCCAACCUGGAACAACAUGAUAAGAUUACAUUUCUCUUUCUUAUCAUUUCUCUUGAAUGAGAAUAUUUUACUCAUCCUUCAAUGUCUCCUAUAAUUCAAAAGAAAUGAAAUUAAGAUGUAAUUAUUGUUUAAUUAAGGUUGCUUUAAAUGUAAUAAAAGCCAUCGUGGAAUACAUACCUUCCUAGUCUUUCAUAAUUUUUACUAAUCAUCAAAUUUGUAACUUAACCAUUUG
rnacentral:misc_RNA from 1 species